rnacentral:rRNA from 1 species
CCUACGGGUGGCAGCAGUGAGGAAUAUUGGUCAAUGGCCGGAAGGCUGAACCAGCCAAGCCGCGUGAAGGACGAAGGUGCCCAGCAUUGUAAACUUCUUUUGUCAAGGGACAAAAUCAGGCUCGAGAGCCUGACCGAGGGUACUUGAAGAAAAAGCAUCGGCUAACUCCGUGCCAGCAGCCGCGGUAAUACGGAGGAUGCGAGCGUUAUCCGGAUUUAUUGGGUUUAAAGGGUGCGUAGGCGGACUGUUAGGUCAGCGGUAAAAGCCCGGGGCUAAACCCCGGCGAGCCGUUGAAACUGGGCGUCUGGAGAUGUCGAGAGGUAUGUGGAAUGCGCAGUGUAGCGGUGAAAUGCUUAGAUAUUGCGCAGAACUCCGAUUGCGAAGGCAGCAUACCGGCGGCGAUCUGACGCUGAGGCACGAAAGCGUGGGGAGCGAACAGGAUUAGAUACCCCGGUAGUC